rnacentral:rRNA from 1 species
GACGAACGCGUGGCGGACGUGCCUAACACAGUGCAAGUCGAGCGGGGUUGAGGCGAGAGGUAACUCGAGCUUCUACCGUAGCGGCGGACGGGUGAGUAACGCGUGGGCAACCUGCCUCAAGGUUUGGGAUAACAGCCCGAAAGGGCUGCUAAUACCGGAUAUGCCUAUGGCCUCGCAUGGGGCUAUGAGCAAAGGGGAAACCCGCCUUGAGAUGGGCCCGCGUCCCAUCAGCUAGUUGGUGAGGUAACAGCUCACCAAGGCGACGACGGGUAGCCGGCCUGAGAGGGUGACCGGCCACACUGGGACUGAGACACGGCCCAGACUCCUACGGGGGGCAGCAGUGGGGGAUCUUGCACAAUGGGCGAAAGCCUGAUGCAGCGACGCCGCGUGAGCGAAGAAGGCCUUCGGGUUGUAAAGCUCUGUCUGGAGGGACGAAGAAAAUGACGGUACCUCCGGAGGAAGCCACGGCUAACUACGUG